rnacentral:rRNA from 1 species
CAGUAGCCACGGUAAUGCGGAGGGUGCAAGCGUUGAUCGGAAUUACUGGGCGUAAAGCGCACGCAGGCGGUUUGUUAAGUCAGAUGUGAAAUCCCCGAGCUUAACUUGGGAACUGCAUUUGAAACUGGCAAGCUAGAGUCUUGUAGAGGGGGGUAGAAUUCCGCGUGUAGCAGUGAAAUGCAUAGAUAUGCGGAGGAACACCGAUGGCGAAGGCAGCCCCCUGGGCCAACACUGACGCUCAUGCACGAAAGCGUGGGGAGCAAACAGGAUUAGAUACCCGCGUAGUCCCUGUCUCUUAUAC